CACAACUAUAUUUAAGUUCCCUAAACAUAGAAAGAAAACGGAUAGCCUUUUACAAACAUCUCGCAGUCGAAUUCAGUGCAGCGCUACACCACUGCAACCACAAUCAUCUUGUCAUUUUUUUUUCUCGAUGCAAUUUUGUACCGAAUCGCAAUUUUCGCUGCGCGGUUGAGCCUAAUGUUGUGUCUUCCGAGUGCACACUAUCUUGCGAAGAGCUGCUACGAGUGUCUGUGUGUAAUAGAAAAGCAGAAAAAGAUGUCAGUCGUAUCUGAUGCAGCUGUCAGUCGAAGGACCGAAGCUUGAAGCGAGACCUGUGUGUGUGUUUGUGCUUAGGGGUGUGUGUGUGUGUCUGUGUGUGUGUGUGUAGGCCACCCCCGAGGACAAAGAAGAUAAGGCGGGAUUUCGCUUUUAUCAGCUGGACACUAACUAGACCAGGACACCGGGUGGCCACCGGCGCUGCCGAAAAGUCGAUCAUCACGCUCAGUUUCGAGACGAGCACCAAUCAAGUGGAAACAUUUUCGUCCCACGUCUAUCGGGCGCCUCCAUCCAGAUUCAAAGAUUUGGGACAGUUCUCUCAGCCCUUUGUCCAAAAUCAUCAAAAUGAGAGAAGACACCCCAUCGAGUCCAGAAGCAGAAACGUUGGCCGACUACGCUCCGAUUCCGACAUAAAAUGCCACCUCUUCAAAGCCAAAGCCAGAGCAGAAGAAUGGUCCCACUCGCACCCACAUGGGCAUGCAUGCGACGCACCUGUGUGACAACGUGGUGAUCUGUGCCACGGACCUUCAAUGCGACGCGAGGUCAACCACAGAGGGAAGACAUUCUUGACACUAAUCUCGCCCGUGAUGCAUGCCCCUCCACCCCCACACACACAGAGGCCUCCCGCCACACCGCCAUGUUUGCGCACGCCUUCGCAACUCUCGCUCACGCGCCUUGACACAAAAGUGACUCAGACGACUUCUAUCACGUUACCGUCAGCGGCGCUGCGGCGACGAUGCGACACUGAAUUUAAAUGACAAAUGCUCCUGUUUGAUUUCAUCUCAUGUGACUCAUUCCCGUAAUCAUCGACUUCCAUGGAGCCGUCGCCAUCCGUCCAUCUGCUUCCGGGUGAACUCAUUUCAUGCACCUUGGUUCUCGCACUCGAAAGAUACGCGAGCAGAUAUACGUAAAUGUCUGUUAUAUGGGUCAACCCAAAAGCUGGCUUUCUCUUGAAGAAAGCAGCUGGUUUAAACACAAUCCCAGUCACCGACACGGCCUUCUAAAUGUCACCUUUAUUUUUCAUCCGCAUUCGCACGCACGAC